GAUGAAGAACGUAGCGAAAUGCGAUAAGUAAUGUGAAUUGCAGAAUUCAGUGAAUCAUCGAAUCUUUGAACGCACAUUGCGCCCCCUGGUAUUCCGGGGGGCAUGCCUGUCCGAGCGUCAUUACAACCCUCAAGCUCAGCUUGGUGUUGGGCCCCGCCGCCCCGGCGGGCCCUAAAGUCAGUGGCGGUGCCGUCCGGCUCCGAGCGUAGUAAUUCUUCUCGCUCUGGAGGUCCGGUCGUGUGCUCGCCAGCAACCCCCAAUUUUUUUCAGGUUGACCUCGGAUCAGGUAGGGAUACCCGCUGAACUUAAGCAUAUCAAUCAGCGGAGGA
rnacentral:misc_RNA from 1 species